rnacentral:rRNA from 1 species
AUAGUACAUGACUCGUGAAUACAUAGCGUGCAUGUGGCAGACCCGGAGAACUGAAACAUCUAAGUACCCGGAGGAAGAGAAAGAAAAAUCGAUUCCCUUAGUAGCGGCGAGCGAAAAGGGAAGAGCCCAAACCGAGGAGCUUGCUCCUCGGGGUUGUAGGACACUCAAUACGGAGUUACAAAGGAAUGUAUUAGACGAAGCGACCUGGAAAGGUCCACCAAAGAAGGUAAUAGUCCUGUAAUCGAAAAUGCAUUCUCUCCUGAGUGGAUCCUGAGUACGGCGGAACACGUGAAAUUCCGUCGGAAUCUGGGAGGACCAUCUCCCAAGGCUAAAUACUCUCUAGUGACCGAUAGUGAACCAGUACCGUGAGGGAAAGGUGAAAAGCACCCCGGAAGGGGAGUGAAAGAGAACCUGAAACCAUGUGCCUACAAGUAGUCAGAGCCCGUUAAUGGGUGAUGGCGUGCCUUUUGUAGAAUGAACCGGCGAGUUACGUUACCAUGCAAGGUUAAGCAGUGAAUGUGGAGCCGCAGCGAAAGCGAGUCUGAAUAGGGCGAUGAGUAUGUUGACGUAGACCCGAAACCUGGUGAUCUACCCAUGUCCAGGGUGAAGGUAAGGUAAUACUUACUGGAGGCCCGAACCCACGUAUGUUGAAAAAUGCGGGGAUGAGGUGUGGGUAGCGGUGAAAUUCCAAUCGAACCAGGAGAUAGCUGGUUCUCUCCGAAAUAGCUUUAGGGCUAGCCUCGAACGUAUGAAUCUCGGAGGUAGAGCACUGUUUGAACUAGGGGCCCAUCCCGGGUUACCGAAUUCAGACAAACUCCGAAUGCCGAUGAUUUUAGUUCGGGAGUCAGACUGUGGGUGAUAAGAUCCAUCGUCGAGAGGGAAACAACCCAGACCGCCAGUUAAGGUCCCUAAGUAUCUGUUAAGUGGAAAAGGAUGUGGCGUUGCACAGACAACCAGGAUGUUGGCUCAGAAGCAGCCAUCAUUUAAAGAGUGCGUAAUAGCUCACUGGUCGAGUGGCGCUGCGCCGAAAAUGUAUCGGGGCUAAACAGAUCACCGAAACUGCGGAUUGACACCUAUGGUGUCAGUGGUAGGAGAGCGUUCUAAUUGCGCUGAAGCAUGACCGGAAGGACGUGUGGAGCGAUUAGAAGUGAGAAUGCCGGUAUGAGUAGCGAAAGAAGAGUGAGAAUCUCUUCCACCGUAUGACUAAGGUUUCCUGAGGAAGGCUCGUCCGCUCAGGGUUAGUCGGGUCCUAAGCCGAGGCUGAAAAGCGUAGGCGAUGGAAAACAGGUUGAUAUUCCUGUACCACCUUUCCGCCAUUUGAGUGAUGGGGGGACGCAGUAAGAUAGGGUAAGCGCACUGUUGGUUAUGUGCGUCGAAGCAGUGAGGCGUGAAACGAGGCAAAUCCCGUUUCUAUAACGUUGAGCUGUGACCGCGAGGGAUUUAUCCCGAAGUUCUCGAUUCUACGCUGCCAAGAAAAGCCUCUAACGAGGCGGAAGGUGCCCGUACCGCAAACCGACACAGGUAGUCGAGGAGAGAAUCCUAAGGUGAUCGAGUGAACUCUCGUUAAGGAACUCGGCAAAAUGACCCCGUAACUUCGGGAGAAGGGGUGCUCUUUAAGGUUUACGCUUUGAAGAGCCGCAGUGAAUAGGCCCAGGCGACUGUUUAUCAAAAACACAGGUCUCUGCUAAACCGUAAGGUGACGUAUAGGGGCUGACGCCUGCCCGGUGCUGGAAGGUUAAGAGGAAGGGUUAGCUUCGGCGAAGCUCUGAAUUGAAGCCCCAGUAAACGGCGGCCGUAACUAUAACGGUCCUAAGGUAGCGAAAUUCCUUGUCGGGUAAGUUCCGACCCGCACGAAAGGCGCAACGAUCUGGGCACUGUCUCAACGAGAGACUCGGUGAAAUUAUACUAUGCGUGAAGAUGCGCAUUACCCGCGACAGGACGGAAAGACCCCGUGGAGCUUUACUGUAACCUGAUAUUGAAUUCCGGUUCAGUCUGUACAGAAUAGGUAGGAGCCUUUGAACUCGGAGCGCCAGCUUCGAGGGAGGUGUUCGUGGGAUACUACCCUGAUUGGAUUGGACUUCUAACCCAUGCCCCUUAGCGGGGCAGGCGACAGUGUCAGGUAGGCAGUUUGACUGGGGCGGUCGCCUCCUAAAGUGUAACGGAGGCGCCCAAAGGUUCCCUCAGAAUGGUUGGACAUCAUUCGCAGAGUGUAAAGGCACAAGGGAGCUUGACUGUGAGACUUACAAGUCGAACAGGGUCGAAAGACGGGCUUAGUGAUCCGGUGGUUCCGCAUGGAAGGGCCAUCGCUCAACGGAUAAAAGCUACCCCGGGGAUAACAGGCUUAUCUCCCCCAAGAGUUCACAUCGACGGGGAGGUUUGGCACCUCGAUGUCGGCUCAUCGCAUCCUGGAGCUGUAGUCGGUUCCAAGGGUUGGGCUGUUCGCCCAUUAAAGCGGUACGCGAGCUGGGUUCAGAACGUCGUGAGACAGUUCGGUCCCUAUCCGUCGUGGGCGUAGGAAAUUUGAGAGGAGCUGUCCUUAGUACGAGAGGACCGGGAUGGACACACCGCUGGUGUAUCAGUUGUCUCGCCAGAGGCAUCGCUGAGUAGCUACGUGUGGACGGGAUAAAUGCUGAAAGCAUCUAAGCAUGAAGCCCCCCUCAAGAUGAGAUUUCCCAAUU